UGGCUAUAAAUAAUAGUAGUAACAGCAAAGAGGCAAUUGUCAAAUAUUAACAAACUCAAUAAUCUCCAAACAUGAAAGCCUCUUUGAUAAUAUGCAUUCUCUUGGUUGCCAUUCUCUUCUCUCCCUCUUCAACUUCUGCUCGACAAUUAGCUGCUUUAGGCGCCGGCAACCCAAAACUUCCUCCGUUUGGAUGCGGCAGUGGCAAACGAUAUUGUAUUCCUUCUAAAAGUCCUCCUUGCAGCCCUUACAUCCGCAAUUGUCCUCCUAACACCAGCCCUUGAAGAGCUAAAGAGAAUAGAUGGAGUUCUCAGCCAACGACAUCAGUCUUGAGAAUUUCUUUAUUUUAAUUUUCAGUCCAAGUAAUUGUAACCGAGUCUAUCAUCAUAUACAAAUAAAGGUAUAAUAUAUAAGUUGCUUGAUAUGAGUCUAUUCUAUUUAUUUUUAGUUUAAUAUUUUAACAUAUGACAUUGUUUUGCAUGUCUUUGCCCUAAUAUAUUAUCAUGUUCUUGCAGAAUUUACAUAUGGUAGUAGAGAUAGAAUGUUAAAAGAUUGUAGAUAAAAAAAAAUUCUAUAGAAAAUGAAAAAUAACCAUUAUAACUUGGAUUUACUUUGUUGAUAUGUUAAUAUACCGAGUUAUUAUGCAUAUGAUUUAUACGCUUUAGUAAAAUUAGUACUAACCUUCCAAAAUCUAAGUGAGUUUGUGGAGAUUUUAUUAUUGUUAUCCUCGAAUGAUAUAUUAUGGAGAACUAUUAAAUAAGUUUUUGUAGUUUAUUGGCUAUAAUAUUACAAUGUUUUAAUUUGCCUAUGGUUAUAAGAAUGUAAUUAAGUUUCAAUUGCGUUGAUAUGUAUUUAACUUGGAUUUUUUCACUUACAAUUGAGAAGUUGAGAACUCUUUUCGACUCUAUUUGAAUAAAUCUCUUUACUUUAGUAACUAUUUUUAAUUGUAAAUUUUUCGUUGUAAAUUGAUAAAAAGAAUUGAUUAUCAAAAUGAGAAAGAAGUAUAAUUUAAUUAUAAUAAAAAAAUAAUUUGCUAUUUUAUUUAUUAGAAUAAUUCAGUUAAUUAAUAUUUAUUGGUGCUAAGAUUUGAAUCUGUUAACUCAUAUUAAUAACUGACAUGAAAGAUUUGAAAUAAAUCACUAAUUUUGCAUAUUAAUAUCCUUUAUAAAAAAUUAAUAUUUCUUUAAAUAUUUAAUGAAAAUAUAAGAUAAAAAUAUAAAAAAAUUAAUUUAGAAUGAAAAUUAAAAAAAUCUAAAACAUAUUAAUAUUCAUAUAAUAUUAUUAUCUAAAACUGAGUUAAUUGACAAUUAAUAUAUUCAUUAUGACUUUAUCUUGUGCUCGAUAAUAUAUGAAUCUUAUAAUGAUAGUGGUAACUAAAUUUAUAAAAUUAUAUAUCAAAUAAAAAAAGAUAAGAUUGAAAGAAAAAGUAAAUCAAGGUUUAAUUUACGUUAUGCUGGAUUAGAGCUUUAAUAAAAGAGGGUUGAUUGAAGAAAAACUCAAAUAGAAAAUAUCCUAUUACAUUACCCUUAUUAAGAAUAUUAAUAUUCAAUACUACCAUACUAUUUCAUUAAAUUAAUCUACUUUUAUAAUAUAUAUGGAUCUUUAGUUAUCUAAUAAUAUGUUAAACUUAUUUAUUGCUAGCUAUAAAAAUAAUCAGUAGUUAUUUUAUAAGUUAUAAAUUAGUUUAUUUGUAGAUGAAUUUACUAUAAUAUUUUUAUCAUUAUCUUAAUAAUAUAAAUGAUUAUAAUGUUAAAAUUGAAAAUAUAUAUCAUUUUAUUUUUAAGUAAUAAUAAGUCAAAUAGUUAAUAUUUACAUAAGUAAAACACAAGUUAUAUUAAUUGUGAGAUAAUGAAAGCUAACAACGCUCUCACAUUGGCCUACUCUUUAAGCUCUAGUCAACUAUAAGUCUAUGGAAUCAUAUUUUUAUUACUAGAAGUUCUUUUCUCCUUUUAUAAAAUUUAACAGCAUAGAGAAUUAGUUCCUAAAGAAUUAUGAUAAAAACAUAGGACUUAAAUACAUUCGACUUCACCUCCUCAUCUUCUACCCUUAACAUAAGAUUGCCAUUAAACAUAACAAUGAUAAUCUUAGUGGUCAUUAUGAAAAAUCUGAACUCCUUAUAUUUCGUCGACUUAAAUACAUUCAAUUUCAUUUCCUUAUCUCCUACCUCAAAAUAAUAUUGCAAUUGAACAUAUCAAUGAUAAUCUUAUUGGUCAUCAUGAAAGGUCUCCCAAAAUGAUUGGAACCUCUUUGUCCUCCUCACAAUGUAAGACAAUAAAGUCCAUCAAAAAGAAGAAUUUGUCCAUCUUAAUAAGGAUAUUUUCAACUAUUUCCAAUGGUUGCUUAACAAAACGGCUGCCAUUUUAAGGCCCACUUUUGUUGGGCGCAUAUCUCUUAGUCCUAGCUUCCUCGAAAUAGAUAAAGGCAUAAGAUUAAUAGUUGCACCUAAAUCUAACAAAGUUUUCUUAAAUUGUACAUCACUAACAGUGCAAAGGAUAGUAAAACAUUCCAAAUAUUGAAGCUUUUGCAGCAUUCAGUUGAGCAUAAUGGCACUAGAAUGCUCUGUCACUAAAAUAGUAUCAUAGUCUUCUAACUUCUUGUUGUUGGAGAUGAGCUCCUUAAGAAACUUGAUAUAAUUUGGCAUGUGAGCAAGCGCCUCCACAAAUGGGAUAUUGAUUUGAAGCUUCUUGAACAUUUUUAAGAAAUUGGCAUUAUGCUUUACAUCUCCAUAUAUCCCUUAAGCCAUUGAGGAUAUGGAAUAGAAGGCAAUAUAAAGGCACUUUAGGAGGUGGAGGAAUAACAUCCUCCUUUUCUUCCUUCACAAGCUCUUCCUGGGUAGAGGGAGGUGUGGAAUCCUCUAAGUCUAUAAUUAGUGCCUCAUCGUCAACUUUUGCUAUACCCUUAUCUUCUUUCUUUUUACCCACCUUAAGAUAUAUCUCUUCUACUUUUUAGAGAAAUAGCUUUACAAUGCUCCUUUAGGUUCUUGGUAUUGCUUGGUAAACUCCCUUACGAUCUUUCAAUUAGAGACUUAGCUAUUUGACCCAUUUGUAUCUAUGAAUUGUGAAUUGAAAAAUGGUACUUGGCAAUUUGGUUAAUCUUGGCCUCUAGCUUCUCAUGCUUAUCAUUCACCGCACUUACAAACUUCUCUAAAACAACUUCCUACGUUCCGCUUAUUAUUGAAAAGUUGGUGGGGCUUGAGGUCUUUGCACAUUUAAUUGAUUGCUUUAUCUGAAGUUAGAAUGAUUUCUCCAUCUAGGGUUAUAGUUGUUUAAGAGGGAUUGUUGACUUGUUGAUAGGAAAACUACCACCUAAUUUACUUGCUCAGAAGAAGACAAAGUGAAUGGGUUCCCAACUCGACAAUCCAUACUUGUGUGCCUAUUUCCACCGCACAACUCACAAACUAAGAAAUUGAUGGAAUUAAUAGCAUUACAAUUCAUGGAACUUACUUGCUUCAUGAGAUUAGUAAUUUGAGCUUGAAGAGCCAUCCAUUUUGGAAACCCAUGAUGAGGACAAUAUCUCAAAAAAAUCUUAGACCUCUCUUAAGAUCAUAUAAGGACUCAUCUUUCCCUUGUCUAAAAUUUGAAAUUUUGGACCUGAUGACUUUGCUGGUGGAAAAUGUUUACUAAGAGAACGCUUUAUUAACUCAUCCCAAGCGGUAAUUGUUCUCGGUAGUAGAGAAUUCAACCACAUUCUUGCUUUACUGCUAAGAGUGAAAGGGAAGAGCCUCAACUGCAUGGCAUCCUCACUUGUAUCAUUAAUCUUAAAAGUGGCACACACAUUUAAAAAUAAUUAUAUAUGCUCAUUAGGGUCCUCAUUAAGCUAACCUAUGAGACAAAGAGCCUUGUAUCUAACGCCCAUACCUAAGAAACUAUAAUAAUAAUAAUAAUAAUAAUAAUAAUAAUAAUAAUAAUAACAAUAAUAAUAAUAAUAAUAAUAAUAAUGAUGAUGAUGAUGAUGAUGAUGAUGAUGAUGAUGAUGAUCUCAAAACUAGAAGUUUUUAAAAUUUGAUGCAUGUGAUUAGAGUAAAGGAUUGUUUUUUUAGUUGGAUCAUUUGUAAGAGAUUAUUAAUAAGACCUUACUUUAAAAUGGGAUUUUUAAUGUUAGAUAAAAUAUAAAAGGAUUUAUUAAACUAUAUUUAAUUAGUUUGAUUAAGUAGCAUAUUAGAUAAGUGAUCUAUAUAAAAGGUAAGUUAUUUCUCUGUAAAUGUUGUACUCAAAUUUUUCUUGAUAUGAAUAUACAAACUGAAUAUUAUACUAGGAGGUUGUAAAAAAUAUUUUUUUUCUUGAGAGUUUAUUUGGGAAUGAUAAAUUUUUAUUUAGCAAAUGAUAUUGGAUUUAAUUAAAAAUAGUUACUAAAUUGAUUAAUUAAGUUAAUUAAGUUUUAGGAUUAAUUUGAUAAUUAUUUAUGAGAUAAGGGCUAAAAGUAUAAUUGAUUUAUUAUGGAAUUUACGUGAGGAAAUAGACUUGUUGGCAUUUUUAUAAAUAAAUGUGUCAAUAGGGGCAUUAAGGUAAUUCUUAAUUUAUAAGUAAGGUUAAAAUAGUAAUCUUGUAUUUAUCUCCAUUUGUAAUUUAACCUAAAAUUAAAGGAUUAAGGUCAAAUUGAUAGAAUAAUAUCAAGCUUGAGGGGUUUAACUGAUAUUUCCAAGGAGUUAUGGUUGUUCAAAGAAAAAUUGAGGGACCAAAAGUGGAUAUGGGUAGAAAAAGAAAAGAAAAGAAAGAAAGGAAGAGGAAGGAGAUGAAGAAAGGGGGAGAAGAAGCUUGGAGUUGCCUUCAAUGGCAGAUGAGGGACGAGUUAGUUUGAGGUGCGGUAAAGCUGGCUAGAGGAAGAGGAGGCAACAACGAGCUCAAUGGAGGCGACAGUAGCAGCUACCAGUGGCGAUAGACGACAAAAAAUGGAGAAGAACGCAACAACUUCUCGCCGCCAUGCAGGGUGAUAACGACAUCCGUUUACAGUGAUUAUAGUCUCAGAAGACCAAUAACUUGUGGGCUUCCCUUUUUGCCUAUCAUUAACCCGUGAGGUUGUUGAAAAAGCAAAAUCCGAUGAGAGGAAGCUUGUAAGGGCAAUUCAAAUUUUUGAAUUUUUCGACCAAAGUCAUUGUGCUUCAGUUGAUCAAAGAUCAUAUUUGAGACCUAUGCGUCACAAGCUUUCCGAUGACACCUAUUUCAUGACAAUUGGACUUCAUUAGAAGAUCAAUGGUUGGAAACUGUCUGGGAUGUUUCCAGAUGAUCGGGGCUGGAUCGAAAAAUAAGAUGCUAGAAUCAUUCUCUACGCAUCGUUUUGAGUUUAUAGACGCGUGAUUAGACUCCAAAGGCCGGAGGCGAGUCAACUGAUUUAGCAGAUGUCUAGGUAAUUCUUUAGCCUAUUAAUUUUAAAAUUGUUAACUAAAAAUAUACUAGUAUUAAUUGGAAAAAGUGUUUAAUGUAGGUAUAUAUCUUUGCAAAAUCAAAAUAUGUUGAGCAAUGUAAUAAUCUUAUAAAAACUCUAUCAUUAGUAUCUUUAUGAAUAUUUUAAAUGUGAAACUAGUUAAUUUGAGUAAAUAAUUUAGUGGACCUUAAUAUAUUAGUCAUAAAUCUCAAUAAUUAAUUAAAUAUAUACGAUUGAGAUUUUAAUUUAUUUAUUAAUUUAUUAAUUUAAUUGUGUUAUUAGUAGAUAAUUGACAUAAUGACUGAAAAAUAUUAUAUUUUGCUAGAAUAGAUAAAUGUAGUAAAAUGUACAUUUAAGUGAUGGGAGAAAAUAAAUAAAAUUAGUAUUAGCUAUAUGAUAAAUAAUACUAUUGACAUGAACUAAUUAGAUAAGAUAUGAUGCUUGAUUUGUGAGGUAGAUCAAUUAUUACUUUAUACUCAGGGUUAAUUAAAAUAGCCAGUGGAUAAAUAUUAAUGUUAGAAAAUAAAUAAAUAGAAUUAAUAAUUAAUAAUUAAUCUAGUUAUUGAUAUGUUUGGAGGAAAGUAAUUGUAAUAAAAUUUCAUGUGCUAGAAAAGUAUCUAGAUAAGAUGGAAAUUAAUCUAGAAUGUUAUACGGUUUGAUCAAAGGGAGAUCAAGUUAAAUAAAAAUUUAUAUUUGGAGAUCUCGGAUAGAAAUUAUUAUUGGGAUGUGUCGUGUGAAUUUUCUUGCAGGUUGUGGACAUAUUUUACAGGGAAAUUAGUCUGUAUUGUAGAGGAUGUGCUGCUGAAAUUUUUAGUAAAAUUAAUCAAUCAGAAUAGGAAGGGAAUAAAUAGGAAUAUGCUAAAAUAAGAUUAGAAUUAAAAGUUUAUAAUUAGAUUUUAGAUAUAGAAUGAUAAACGUUGGUUAAGGAGAGAUUAAUUCAAAAACAUGUUUUUACAUGAAAUUCUAGAGUUAUGCAAUCAGAUAACAGUCUGAAGAAAAUUAGCAGAAAAUAAUUAAUUAGGUGAAAGUAUAGUCGGUUGAGUCCUGCAUACCAAGUGAGUGGAUAAACCUAUAAUAUCAUAUUUUUUAAUAAUAUAUUAUUUAUAUUUUAAUUUUUAUGAAUUGUUGAAAUACAUUUUUAAACAUCAUUAUUUUCUAUAGAAAUUUGGAACAAUUACUGGUAAUUUUAGUCUUAUUUUAUAUACGAUUAUGAUAUUACAUAGCUGGAUAAAUGAGUAUACUCUCAUUUAUGUGACUUAUGAGAUCACACCUUGGACAUCGAGUGUAAAUAUAAUAUACUAUCUUUGGGACAACGCUUAGUAUACUCAUCGCCUUUGUGGUGUAUACUAAGUGGUGUCUUUUUGGAGGUAAUAGCUUAAACACUUAUAUGUUUUAACAAAAUUAAAUAGAUAAGUUUUAUUAUAUAUAGGACUUAUCCAUAUUUUUUAAUUCUAAUUAUAUGUUAACCUGUUUGACUUAUUGUUGGAGGUAAUAUUAUUCUGACACCGAUGUCAUAAGGCAUAGAAUCAACUGCUAUAAGAAGGGGCUUAAAUGAUGGAUAUUGUGUGUUUUGCAGGUUAUUUGAGCAAAAAAUUAGUUUAGGGACAAUAUACUCUUUAAACCAAACAUUAUAGGCAAAAAUGAACUUUUUCCUAAAAUUUGAGAAGUCACAUUCAAGGUGAUAGCUUAAGAAUCAAUAAUCAACUAAAGAAAAUAACGCCGACGAGACAAAAAGAAAAAGUAAUAUAAAAAGGAUAAAGCCAAAAAAAACCAAAGAAAAAUUUAAUUCUAUUUAGUGUUUGAAUUAUUUUUUUAUUUAAUUAAAUGUCUGAAUUUAAAUAUAUUAUAGUAUUUUUUUAUAAAUUUUAUAAAUUAAAGUAAUAAUUUACUCAAUUUAUACACAAGUUUACCUAAAUAUUCUUGCUCAUUGUUUACAAUUUUUUUUAUUUUUUUUUUUCCUUUUCUUUUUCUUUCCAUUUCCUACCAAAUCCUUUUUUAGCAUUAAGAAAGCAAAGGUGUUGGAUUAAUUUUUUAUAACAUAAAUUUACUUAUUAUUUUUAUUUCUAAUUUUUUUUAAAAAAAUUUAAUACCUCCCUCUCUCUCUUAUAUUUUAAGGUGAAAGAAAUAUAUGUUAUUUUUACUUUUAUUUAAACUCAAACUUAGCAUUAUCUCAAGUCCCUAACUUUUUUUCUGCUUUCACUAUUCUUUGAAAAUCAGUAAUUUAGUUGUUCAUUGCAAGUGAUUUUCUUUUUUCUAGUUGAUUGCAAUAAAUGGUGGAGGCAUCUAACAACAAUAAAAAAUCAAAAUGUCGAUCCAAACUCCAGAAAAUACAGCAAAUCUAACAACAAUCUCAUCAAUAAUUCACUAAUAACAAUAUCAAACAAAAAAACUACAAACUAUAAACUUUUUGAAGUUAAAUUCAUUGAUUCUUCAAUUUUAUAAGAGUUAAUUCUAAUUUUAAAUAUAUACUUAGUUGACUUUAUGUUAAUUUAAGUCUCAUUAUAUUAAAAUGCUUCAAAAACUAUCACAUCAUGUGAUUUUUUUAAGUAUUUUAAAGUUCUAGAAUAUGAAUAUUAGAUUUUAAAAUUCAAAUCUACAGAAAACUAAGUAUUUAGGUCUACAUUACAGAAAACCCAACAAAUAAUAUAUAUAUCGAGUAAAUAUAAGUAUAUCAUGAAUAUAUAUUCUUGAAAUUUAGUAAAUUUUGUGCUCAUAUUAUAUGUAUGAUAUAUGACUUAUACAAUUCUUGUACAUUGACACUAUAUAUAUAUAUAUAUAUAUAUGUAGAAUAUCUAUUUUUCUUCACAACAACGGAUAUUGAAAAAAAAUAUGAGAUACAUAAACUUUGAUGUAAAGGACAUUUAAUAGCAAUAGUUUUUAUAUUCAAUUUCAUGACUUGGUCUCAUAAAUUAAAACUUGUAUAACUAAAUAGUUUUUAUAAUUAGUACAAAGCUAUUAUAAGUGGUUAAAAUAAUUUAUUAGAAUCUAUACUAGUGCAAUAAAUAUAUAGGUUUUAAUGAGUUAAAAAAUGGUGGUAGAUAUUCAUUAUAUAUUCAUAAUAUAAUCGAUAUAUACUAUAUACUGUUAAGUUUAUAAGUUUGUUUGAAUUUGAGUUGACUAUACUUGUGAGUAAUGAAACCCUAAUAAUUGAUUAAUUUCCGUCUACUUUUCUCUAUUCAUUCAACCUGAAUAUAUACAGAAGUUUGUUACAAGGAUAACUUCUAACUACUUACGUAAUAAGCAACCUUAUCAAAAAUACAAUUAGAAUAACAUCUAACUACUACAGCUUAUACAUACUUAUCUCUAUACUAACAAAUUAACUAAAUAUAGUUAACACUCCCCCUCAAGUUGGCAAGUAACAAUUUGUCAUGCCCAACUUGUUUAUGGCAUCAAAAAACUCCUUCUUCGACACAGCUUUUGUAAGAACGUCAGCUAACUGAUUCUUAGACUUCACGAACGGAAAUGAAAGUACUUUCUCGUCCAACUUCUCCUUUAUGAAAUGUCUGUCCACUUUGAUAUGUUUUGUACGAUCAUGCUGUACAAGAUUCUGAGUAAUCUCUAUUGCUGCCUUAUUAUCACAGAAUAAUUUUAUUGGUUUUUCAAACACCAUACCCAAUUCAUUCAAUACACGCAUAAUCCAUAACAACUCACUCACACCAUGAGCCAUUCCUCUAAAUUCUGUCUCAGCACUCGAUCUUGCAACUACCUUCUGUUUCUUGCUUUUCCAUGUCACCAAAUUCCCACCAACAAAGGUAAAAUAGCCUGAAGUCGACCUCCUGGUUGUAAUAUCACCUGCCCAAUCAGCGUCUGUAUACCCUUCAACCUUCAAAUUAUCGCUUUUUGAGAAAAACAGUCCCUUCCCAGGAGAUCCCUUCAAGUACUUUAAGACUCAAAAUGCAGCAUUCAUAUGUUUAUUACUAGGAUUAUGCAUAAAUCUACUAAGAACACUAGUUGCAUAGGCAAUGUCAGGUCUAGUAUGCGAUAGGUAAAUUAAUUUGCCUACUAACCUUUGAUACUUCCCAAUAUCCGCAGCAAUUUGAUUAGGAAAAAUCCCUAACCUAUGGUUCAUCUCAAUGGGAGUAUCACAGGGUUUACAUCCCAGCAUACCCGUAUCUUCAAGCAGAUCAAACACAUACUUACGCUGCGACAAUGAUAUGCCAUCACUCGACCUUAUCACUUCAAUGCCCAAAAAAUACCUCAGCUCUCCCAGGUCUUUUAAUUCGAACUCGGAAGCCAAGUUUUCCUUCAGAUUCUCUAUCUCUGCAUUGUCAUUUCCAGUUACCACCAUGUCAUCCACAUAAACUAUGAGUGCCGUAACUGUUACUCCAUUUCUUCUCACAAACAAAGUGCGAUCAGAUUCACUUUGUUUGUACCCAAAUUUCUUCAUAGCAACAGUUAACUUACCAAACCAAGCUCUCGGUGAUUGUUUUAACCCAUACAAGGACUUCCUCAACUUACAUACUUUGUCUACAUUUGAUCCUAGUAACUUAAUACCAGGUGGUACAUCCAUAUAUACUUCUUCCUCCAAAUCACCAUGUAAAAAAGCAUUUUUUACAUCAAAUUGUCUUAAUGCCCAUCCUUUAGUUGCUGCAAUAGAAAUCAGUAUUCAAAUCGUACCAAGUUUCGCCACAGGUGCAAACGUUUCCUGGUAGUCAAUUCCAUACUUCUGAGUAAAUCCUUUCGCCACCAGUCUCGCUUUUCGCCUGUCUAGACUCCCAUCUGCCUUAAGCUUCACUGUAUAGAUCCAUUUACAGCCAAUCGUAUUCUUCCCCUCUGGUAAUUUCACAAACUCCCAUGUUGCAUUCUUCUCUAGGGCUUUCACCUCUUCCUUCAUCGCCUCUUUCUAUUUCAAGUCUUGCAUUGCCUCCUGCACACUAUUAGGAAUCGUAAUCCCGGAUAAUUCACUAGUGCUAAGUGCAUAAUAAUCUGAUAAAUGGUUAUGCGAUACUUAACAUUAGACUUAAGAUUCGGUUCAUAUUGUUUUCGAGCAAUACCCUUAUUUGAUCUUUGUGGAUAUCUUGAAAUAGAAUCAUUUAAGUUAAUGUCUCCAUCCCGAAGAGAAGAGGAAGUAUCAAGAUUUUCAGAAACAGUAGGAAGAGAACUGACCUGAGGUUCGGUUUCCUCUGGAAAUGGUGUUAAAAUAGGCGACCUCAAAUGCUCCUGUUCCUGUUCGACCCCUUCUCUUAGUGUCACCACAAUUUCCUGAUUACUUCUCCUAUCAGUAUCCAUAAUCAUUUGUCUCUCCACUUCUUCACUGCCAGCCCUAUCACAACUAUCUAGUUUUACAAAUUCUGAAACACUUCUCUCACUCAUACUCUCCCCCUGGUGAAUAGAAUUCUGCGAGUAAAAGAAAUCAGACUCUCUAAACGUAACAUCCAAACUGACAUACAUUUUUUUCCUAUUAGGUUCAUAACAUCUGUAACCCUUUUGAGAAUUAGAAUACCCUACAAAUACACACUUAACAGCUCGGGGUUCUAAUUUAUUCUGAAGUGGUUUCGGGACAUGAGUAAAAACAGUGCAACCAAAUAUACGGGGUUCCAGAUUUGAUUCAUGAGGAAUUCUAAAGAACGUAUGUAGCUUGGCCUGGGGAGUUUGAAAAUUUAAGACACUAGACGGGGUUCGAUUUAUCAAAUACACUGCCGAUUUUACUGCUUCUCCCCAAAACACCUAGGCAUGUUUGCUCCAAAUAAAGAUGCCCUAACUACUUCUAAAAUUUGCCUAUUCUUACGUUCCGCUAAUCCAUUUUGUUGAGGGGUAUAAGUACAUGAGGUAUUAUGUCGAAUACCAUUCUUAGUUAAAAAAUUACUUAAAUGACUAUUCAUAAAUUCCUUUGCAUUAUCGGUUUGCCAGACUAAAACCAAUGUACGAUAUUGAUUUCUAAUAAAAAUCCAAAAAUCACAAAAAGCUUUACUUACCUCACUUUUGUUCAGAAGUAAGGUUAUCCAAGUCAUACGAGUACAUUCGUCUAUAAAAGUUACGAAAUAUCUAGCACCUGAUAAUGAAGGAAUUUUUGCAGGACCCCAAACAUCAGAAUGUAUAACAGCAAAUGGUUCAGUACUUUUAUUAAAACUAGGCAAAUAAGUAGCACGGUGGCUCUUAGCAAGUUCACACACAUCACAAUUAAACACGGAAUCAUCCAAAUUAACAAACAAUUCAGGUUUUAAUUUUUUCAAAUAACUAAAUGACAAAUGUCCAAGGCGUCGAUGCCAUAGCCAAAUUUUUUCCCUUGCAUUAUUUAAGCUUUCAGUCGUGUAAACCUCACUUAUUUUCUUCCCUCCUGUCUCGGUCAAGUCUAGAUAAUAAAGUUUGCCUCGUUUAACACCAUAACCAAGAGUCUCCCGAGUUAGGAUGUCCUGAAAAACACAAUAUGAAGGCCAGAAAGUUACAGUACAGUUAAGAGACGAGGUUAUUUGUCCAACCGAGAGUAAGUUACAAGACAGUGUAGGAACAAUCAAUACAGAUUUUAAAUUCAGAUUUUUUGAAAGAGUAAUGGAUCCUUCUCCACUAACAAUACAUUCGGAUCCAUUUGCUGUUGACACGGUAGAAUGAGAGGAUGGAAUGAAAGAAUGAAUUCGAUCAGAAUUGCAUACCAUAUGAUUAGAUGCACCUGUGUCUAUUAUCCAGGUAUUCGAUCUUAAUAGAGUAGAUGGAGUAUUCUUACCAACACUUCCUGCUAGUGCAACGUGAGCAGUAGGAUUUUCACCAUCUCCGGAUUCUCUUCCAUUUGUAUGAGUUGUAACCGUCUUUGCAACAGCCUUCUUCCUGGGUUUCUUUGUAAAGUCCCACCAAUCUGGAUACCCAAUGAUCUCAUAACAACGCUGUUUAGUAUGACCAGUCUCUCCACAAUGUUCACACAGCAAGUUACUAUUUUUUCCAACUCCAUUUUUCCUGUUUUUUCCAUAAUUCUGUCGAACCUGAAAUACGGUAGGCUCCAUAGUUGCAUUUGUUCCUCCCAUUGUCUUACGUUGUUGAUCUUCUCUUCGAACAUAAGCAUAUGUUUGUUCUAAAUCAAGUUUAGGGUCUUUGCGCAGAAUCUCACCUCGGACUUGAUCAAAGUCUGAAUCAAGCCCACUGAGGAAGAUAUGCACGCAUAGCCUUGCCAUGGCAGAAUGCAAUGCUACUACUCCAUCCACUGUACCUUCAUGUGACUGAGUACGAUGAUCUAUCUCUUGGAAGAUUUCCAUCAACUCAGAGUAAUACGUAGGCAAUGGUCUGCCCUCUUGUUUGAUUGCGAAAGACUUCUGAUUCAAUUCGAAUAACCUCGUUUCAUCAGUUCCAUCGUAAAAUGUUUUUGUUGCUGCCUCCCAAACAUCUUUGGCAGUAGGAAGUCUGAUGAAACGUUGCAUCAGUGAAGGUAUCAUUGAAUCAAUCAGCCAGCUCUUUACCUUUUGAUUCUCAGUUAUCCAGGUAGAGUAUCUCGCAUCUGUAGUUGCAGGCUUCGCUUCCGAUCCGGUUAAAUACCCAGUUUUAUUUCGUGCUCCAAUACGCAUCUCCAUGAGCUGUGACCAUAGAGAAUAAUUCGAUUCGUCCAGUAUAACAUUGGUAGGGAAUGAUACAUUAUCUUGUUGAAUGAUAAUUUGAUUCGAAGACGGAUUCGUGAUUUGAGUAUGAGGUGGAUCUUCUGUACUCAUAAUUCUGUUUAGGGAUUCAGUUUUUAUUUGAAAAAAUUUGUUUUCAGUAUGGUGAGCGGCUGCUCUGAUACCAUGUGAGUAAUGAAACCCUAAUAAUUGAUUAAUUUCCGUCUACUUUUCUCUAUUCAUUCAACCUGAAUAUAUACAGAAGUUUGUUACAAGGAUAACUUCUAACUACUUACGUAAUAAGCAACCUUAUCAAAAAUACAAUUAGAAUAACAUCUAACUACUACAGCUUAUACAUACUUAUCUCUAUACUAACAAAUUAACUAAAUAUAGUUAACAAUACUCGUAGUAUAUUUCGAAUGAUACCAUUUGUAUACUCAAGAUAAACUUGAUAUCGAAUCUCCAUUCUUGUCGCUCCAUUUUAAUUUUGAUUUGAUUUGACAUUAUUUGUAUGAAGUUACUGUUCUUUGGCAUGAAAAUGUUCGUUACAUCAAAGUUUGCAUGGGUCAAGAUUCAUCAAAAAUUAUAUUUAGCUUUCUUGGAAAUCUUUUUCCAAAUUCGCGUGUUGGAUCGUGUCACAAAUUGCAAGGUUCACAUUAUAGUAGAUACAAUAGAAGCAAAUGCUAAACAUCCAAAAAUCCUUAAAUGAUCAUUAAUUAAUAAAAAAUAAUAAAAUAAAAAUUUAACUAUUAAUAUUUACAUGCAUCACAUGCAAAUAAUAAUAAAAAAACUAGUUAUUAUAAGAGCACAAAUAAGAUUAGAAAACGAUCCAUCCUUUUUAACUCAAAUACACUCCAUGAGCUCACCUCUCCAGAUGUACUAAACAAAUAAUUAAAGAAUUACAAAAUAAAAUUUGUGGACCUAAAUGAGACACUAAAUUGAAAAAAAAAAAAAAAAAAGACCUUAGAGAAUAUCUCCCAAAACGACACUCUAAAGUACAACUCACUUGCAUUCCAUUUUCUGAUUGUUGCUUAUGAUGAUGUUGAAAGCCUCGCACAAGGCUAUCCAUUCACAGUGCAAAAAAGUGGGAAGAUGUGGACAGAAGAGCUCCUCCGCCCUUUUAUCUUUCAUGCCGACAAAAGACACUUGGUUAUAAAUUCAAUCACGUGGAACAUGUUACUUAAAAAGGAGGCAAUCUCAUAUGUUCUGGAGUAUGAUAAGAAGAUGAAUAGCUGAAGGCAAUCUCAUAUGUUAUGGCGUAUGAUAAGAAGAUGAAUUGAGUUUCAGCUAUUAAGGGCAAUCUCAUAUGUUUUGGGGUAUGAUAAGAAGAUGAAUGAGAAAUAAAUUUCCACAUUGAUUUGAAAUUUUUUGAAACCUUGAUUCAUUUUCUUCACUUAGGCCCACAAGUUAUGAGAAAUACAAAGCAAUGCUUCAACUUGCUGAUUGGGAGAGACUUUCUCAACAUAAUAUUGGGAUUAUUUAAAUAUCAAUUAUUUUAAUAGAAAUAUAUCUUGAAAAAUAAUAUCAUUUUAUACCAACGUGUUUCAUCCUCUCAUUAAAUACUUAAUGUUUAAUUAAAUGAAUAGCAUCUUAGCUAUCGCAAUCCACAAUAUUCUCUCCGGACAAACUAUCAUUUAAAUGGUUUCUUUAAUGGCUAUCAUAAUGGAUAAUGCUACUGUAAACUGUAAAAAACCUUUCCAAAUGAUAGCAAUAUUACUAAGAUAAAUUUAUGAUCAUAACGGAUCGUUUAUAUAGUUUUUAAUAAGCAGAAAGAUAAUUAUUUAUUUUUUAAAUUUUUAAAAUUUUAUUUGUACAAUUAAUAAAUAUCUAAUGAUAAAAUUUCAUGGUAUGAUAUAUUUAAAUAUUUGUUAUCUUUCUUAUUAUUUAUUUAUUUCCUUAUUGAGUUUAUCUUUAUUUUUUUUUUUAUGAAAAGUGAACGGGUUCUUUAUAGAAAUACCUCUUUUAUAACAAUAAUUGCAAUUUUAUCUCAGAAAAGAAAGUCUGCAAAAAUAUGCUUCUAAAAAAAAUAUUUAUAAAAAUAUGAUCAAGUCAAAUAUCUUAAACAUUAACUAAACAUCAACCAUAUCAAAAAUCUUUAAAGGGACUCACACAUCAACUAAAAUCGGAAAAAAAUCAAUAACAUCAACUAGUUAUAAAAAGAAAAAGAACAUUAAAUAAACAAGAACUAACAAAAAAAAUUAAAAUCUAAAAAAGAAAGGAUAGAUAAUGCAUAAAAAAAUCAACCAAACGUCAACUAAACAUCAAUAAAAAAAAUCAUUCAAAAAGUAACAAUGUCAUAUUCUAAACUUUUCAAAUUUACUAUUAAAAAUUUAAUUUAUUUGAGUAUUAAUAAAUAUAUUUCACAAAUAUGUGUACUAUACAAUCAAUUUCUUAUACUAACAUAGAUUGAAGCAAAUGUGAUGUCUUAAAUACAUUCAGUCUAAAUAUUUUUAUAACAAUUAUUAUUACUAAAUUAAAAUGAUGAUUAACUAAUAAAAACAACUGAAAUUAAUAAAGACAUAUUGCUAAAGUAAUCAUUCAUUAAACAAAGAGAUAACAAGAUUCAUACAAAGUAAAUAAAUUAAACUAAAUACUUAAAGAAAAUUAGUCUAACAUAUUUAAUCCCAUGAUCAUAAUAAUUAAAUAGUUAAACAUAAAAAUUAGAUUGAAAAUAAAAGCUCCCUCUAGAUCUAGAAUUUCUUCAAGGUAGAAAGAUAAUUGAUUAUCACUCUUCACUUCUUGAAUUUUUUUUUUUUAUUCUUGAAAGAAUAACAAAACCAAAAACUAGGUGUUUGUGAUGAAAAACUAUAGAGGGAAUUGCAGAAAAAGGAAUAAUUGACAGAUGUAAAAUAAUGAGUUGUGUGUCUGUUCUCCAAUACUCAUUUAGAUUUAUAUAAUAUGGACCUAUCACUCUUACUACUACUAUCAUUACACUGUUCUCACUAUAUUUUCAUCAAUUUUUCAAAAGAAAUAUCUAUCCAAUUUGUGCAACAACUUGUCUUCUUCAAUUCAUUAUUAUAAAUAUCUAGAACAAAAUUAAUUAUUAUUAAAAAAUGACAAUCUUGACUAUAGUGUUGAUUACUAAUACUUCUGCUUAUGACAUGUAUAGUAUUUAUUUAUAUUUAUUUUUAUAAUUUUAUUGUUUAAAUGAAAGGUUUGUCUUUCUAUAUGUAAAUAUUAUUUUUCAGUAUGAGAAUAUAUAAUAAAAUUUGAUUUAUCUAAAUUAAAUCUUUUUUAUAUACUGACCGGUUCAAUACACUCAAAUAUCAAUAAUUUUUAAUUUUAUAUAUUAAAUUGUAACUUUAAAAAAGUUUAAAUACUCAAUUAUUAAAUUUUAUUAAUUCCGCACACUAUUUUAUAAUUAUUUUAAAAAAAAAUCAUUGAGUUGUUGGCUUAUUAUGUACAUUCAAAUUAUCCCCCGUGCUCAAUUCGCAGCCAUACUUAUUAUCUAAUGUGUUAAAUUUUUCUUAUAUAUUUCCAACUGCUUUGAUACGUUAGGCACAAGGAAGCAUUCCAACUUGAAAUAUAACGAACACUUAGUGAUCAAAAUAGCUGAGAAAGAUAAGUUUCGUCCUUUGGCAAAUUUUCCCUCUACAGUAUGGGGUUGCAGCUUUGCUUCAUUUUCCUCCUUGAAUCCAGUAAACUAUUCUUCCAUUUUCUUAAUCGUUCUUCUUCUUUUUUUUUUUUUUAUUUUGAAAAUCCCAUGUGCUUUUAUGAAUAAUGUAUUUAUUUUAUAUUAUUAUCUGAAUAAACAAGUUUUUAAUGCAGGAGUUCGAAUCAUACAGUAGAGAGGUAGAAAGACUCAAAGAAAAAGUUAAACUCAUGGUGACGGCUUCCACAAAAGAGCCAAUGGAGAAUGUUCAGAUUAUCAACUUGUUAUACCGUCUUGGGGUUUCAUAUCAUUUUCAGAAUGAGAUUACUGAGCAAUUAAAUCACAUUUUCGAAAUUAUUCCUAACCUCAUUAUUAAUGACUAUGGCCUCUACACUGGCGGUUCUGUUUCAAAUUUUACGACAGUAUGGACACAAAGUGCCUUGCGGUAAGUAUAAUUACAUAGGCUAUUAGUAGCUGUAGCGCCAUAAAACUGAUUUCAAUAUGUCCCAGCUAAUCUAGAUCGAAUGGAAAUUAUUUACGGUGAAUUUGGUGUUGAACGAACAGAUGUGUUCAACAAAUUCAAGAACAGUGAUGGAGAGUUCAAGAAAAGCAUCGCCAAUGACGUGAAAGGCAUUCUGAGCUUGUAUGAAGCGAGUUUUCUAAGUGUGGAUGGAGAAGAUAUUCUAGAUGAAGCCAUAGCCUUUACAAGGCCACUCCUGGAAUCCUUUGCUGAUCAAUCAAGUCCCCAUCUAGCAAAAUAUAUAAGGAAUUCUCUGCUACGCCCUUAUCAUCAAGGCAUAGAAAGGUUAGAGGCUAGGCAAUACAUCUGUUUCUAUGAAGAAGAUGAGUCUUGCAAUGAAACUCUCCUUAAGUUUGCAAAGUUGGAUUUUAAUCGGUUACAAUUAUUGUACAAACAAGAGCUAGCCUCUCUCUCAAGGUAAACUUAAUUUUAUGAGUUUGUAUUUGAGACAGAAACAUGGGUUACCUUUUUCUUUUUGUUAAUUAAUUAGCUCCCAAAAUGAACAUAUAUUUAAUAUGCCAAAUACAUAUUUAUGCUUGUAAACUAUAGUCACUCUCGAUUUAAUUUAACAGGCACAUGGAUUUUAAUUUUUUUUAAUAAUUAAACACGUUUAACUUUUAAUUUAAUCUAAUACACAGAUAAUUUUAUUUUUUAGUAAUAUUUAAAUACUUUUAUACAAUACAUGUGAACUUAAUGAAUAAAGACAUACGUCAAAGAGUGUUAAAAUAUAAUAAAAGAACAAGUUUAUGUGUUUAUUAAAUUUUAUCUGAACCCGACUAAAUAGUCAAAGUUCAUGAGCAUAAAUAUGCAUUUAGCAUAUUUAUUAUUUGAGAUUAUAACUCUGCAAGAGAUUUUUCUUUUUUAAGAUUUUGGAACAAGUGCAUGCAAUAACUUUUUAUAAUUGCUAAUGUAUUUGUACAUGUCAGGUGGUGGAAAGACUUAAAUCUAGCUGAGGAGCUCCCUUACAUGAGAGAUAGACUUGUGGAGACUUAUCUUUGGGCAAUCGGAAACCAUUUUGAGCCUCAAUAUGCCUUUUCUCGAGCGAUGAUUACUAAGUAUACAGUAAUUGUAUCCACAGUAGAUGAUACAUAUGAUGCAUAUGGUACAAUUGAUGAACUCCAGUGUUUUACAAAUGCAUUCCUAAGGUACUAUGACUUUGUUUUUAUUAGCUAAUAAAUAAUAUUUAUGUUAUUAGCUUAUUGAUAAUAUUUAAACUAAAAAAAAAACAAUCAAUAUAAAGCUAGAAGUUGGCUCAUAUUAUUUAUAAUAUUAAUAAGCUAAAUCCAACAAAUAAUUUGGUUCAUAUUUUUUAUUUUAAAUGUCACAUAUUUACAAAGUGAAGGUCCUACCAUUACCUGAUUUACCUAUAUAAUACGUAGAAGUUUAUCUAGAAAAACCCUAAUCUUAUAAUCAAAUUACCAAUCAUGCAGAACAAGUGAAUAAUAAUUGCUUCUUUCAUAAAUUUGGAGGGGCGACUUUGAUGCUAUUGAUGGAGUACCAGAAUACAUGAAAGUUCUUUCCAAGGGCUUGCUGAAAUUCUUUAAUCAAAUAGAGGCUGAGGGAAGGUCCUACCGUACUUCUUUUGCUAACGAAGCGGUAAGAUUUAUGUAGACAUUGAUAGUCUUUUCAAGCCUUCUUGUGAACCGGGACUUCAUUUGAUAUAUACUGAAGUGCAAUUUCUUCUUAUUUCUUUGUUUUCUUUUUGCAUUUUUUUCUAAUGCUCGCAUAGUUCAAAGAACUGGUGAAAGCAUACAUCGUUGAGGCACAGUGGUUUAGUGAUGGCUAUGUGCCAUUAUUCGAUGAAUAUAUGCGCAAUGGAUUAAUAACGAGCGGCUAUAGAGUACUUCCAGCAGCAUCUUUUAUUGGAAUGGAAAAUACUGUAGGGGCCGAGGAUUACAAGUGGGUACAAAGUAAUCCAAAAAUUGUCAGAGCGGCUCAGAUGAUUGGUCGUCUGAUGAAUGACAUAGCAUCCCAUGAGGUAAUAUAUUAUAUUAUGUAAUAAAGUUAUUGUAUUUCAUUUAUCAUGCCAGGUUUAAAUAUUUGAUUUGGUAUUUAUUAUUUAAAUUGAAAUCAGGAUGAGCAAAAGAGGGGACAUUGUGCUUCGGCUAUAGAGUGCUAUAUGAACCAAUAUGGUGUUUCAGAAAAGAAAGCCAUUGAAGAGAUUCAGAAAAUAUGUGGAUAUGCAUGGAAAGACAUAAAAGAGGACUGCAUGAAGAAGCCAUCUGCUGUUUCGAGGAUUCUUCUCAAGUAUUAUCUGAACCUUGUGCGCGUCACAGAUUUUAUUUACAAGUACAUUGAUGCAUAUACAAUUGCAACCUAUAUAAAGCAGGACAUCACAGCAUUGUUCCUGGAGCCGCUGUCCGUUUAGGAUCGGAGCAAUUGGAUUUUCUUAUAUAUGCUUGUGCAGUGAUAAAUAAUUGUAUAAUUCUCUGUGGCUUAUGCGUUUUGUGUAAUUAAGACUUGUCUUUCCUUUUUUUUUUUGAUCGAACAAUUAAAUCCAUUAAUGGAAGGAAAAGUUGGAUACAAGCAAAAAGGAUAACUCAGGGGGAGGGCAAGAAACCCAAGCAUGAGGGAGACUCCCUGAUAACAGACACUUUGCUAACCACCUAGCCGGUUUAUUUCUAGAUUUGGAGACAACAAACCACCUAACCAACUCAAAGGAUUGGAUUCUCUCCCUUGCUUGGUCCACAACAUUAGCCAUCUCCCAAUCAACCUAAGAACCAUUAGAUAAAGCAGAAACAAUACAACUGUUUUCUCAAAACACAUCAAAGCUUGCUAAAUUAAGAGUUUCUGCAAAUUGUAGACAAGCAGAAAUAGCUAAAGCAUAUAUAAAGACACUGGAUAAUAGAGGGGCUUCCAGCUCCAAUAUACUAGUCAUUAUCCGCGUGUUGUACGACCAUUGUAAUUAUUUUGAUUAUAAAUAAUAAUAUAAAUCAAGUUUAUAUAAAUAAAAUUUAAUAAAUUUUUCAAUAUCGUAUAAUUAUUUAUAAUAUUUUAAAAAUAAAUAUAAAUUAAAUAUUUUUAAAGUUUUAUAAAUUUCUUAAUACUUUAAAUUUUUAUUGGUUUCAAAAGAAGAUUUUAUUAGUGCAAUAAUAUAAAAGUUCUUUAAAAAUAUCUAUCAAUAGAUUUUUAGUACUAUAUAAAUUAAUACUGUAAAAAAUAGUGACAUUACUAUCUUUAGGAUUAAAGGUUAUUAUAUAAUUAGAAAAUUAACUUAUUAGUUAAUGAUAUUAUUAUUUAUUUAUAAUUAGAAUUAUUGUCUAGUUAGAAAAUUAUUUUUUAAUUAAUCUAUAUUAAAAUAAAUUAAAAGCUAUUUUUAGAAUUAAAAUUAUUAUCUAAUUAGGAAUAUAGUUUUUUAAUUGAUAAAUUAAUUAAAAAAAUAAUAAAAUUACAGAAAUAUGAAGGUUGAGGAUUCCUUCAGCUUUGCAAUCUGUAUGUACAAUCCCAACAGAAACUAUUAAGUAUAUGAACAAUAAAAGUAUCUUCUGAUCUAUUUGCUUAUUUAAGAUACUUUAAUUUAUACGUUCUUCACUGAACAUCAACGAAAAAGAAUAAAUAAAUAAUUUAUACUUCGUAGCCACAAUAAUAUUUGGAGCUAAAUUCAAUCACUAAAAUUUCAUCUUCGCCCCAUUGUUGGUCGAUGGUCUCCUUUUAUUAUUCUUUUUAUUAGUUAAUUUUAAUAAAUAAAUAUUAAGAUAUUUUCUAAAAUGUUAUAUGAUUUUUCCAUUAUAGAGAUGAUAAAUUUUUUUAUAUAUAAGUAGUGAUAUAGAUGUUGAAUUCUCUCUUUGUGAGAGCAAUGAAAAAAAUAAAAAGAUUAAUUUUAUUUAAAUAAUUGGACUCGUCAAAAAAUACUUAUAAAAUUGAUAUAUAGUUUAGUGUCACUGAAUGAAAUGUACGUGCUGCAAAAUUGUAAUAUAUUAUUCCAUCAACACGAUUGAUGGUUAUUAGAAAUAGAUUUAUAUAUUUCUUUUAUUUUUUAUAUCAAAAUUUAUUUGUUAAUCUUCAUAAAUUGAAUAUUCAUUUUUUUUUAAAUGUCACAAUUUGGAUGACUAGCCUUAAUUUAAUAAGUUUCUCCCAUAAUGAUAUUGACAUUUAUGUAAUUUAUAUCAUUAGCCCAUGGAUACUGACCCAAAAGAAUAAUGAUAAAAAAACAUAAGACCAAACGUUGCUACUUUCCUAGAAAAAUGAAUCUAUUUUCUUCCUAGUCAGCCUCCAAGUCUUUUAGCUUUAUUUACAAAUGACUAUAAAUAAUAGCAGCAGUGAAGAAGCAAUUAGUCAAAUUAACAAACUCCCUAAUCUGUAAAUAUGAAAGUUUUUUUCAUAAUAUGCAUUUUCUCUGUUGCCAUUCUCUUUUGCUUCCUCUUCAACUACUGCUCGACAAUUAGCUGUUCAGUCUGAAAAAGGUACAUCAGAUUACUCUUUAAUCAUUUCCAUCAGUUGUUUAUAAUUUUAUAUUUUAUUUUUUAAUCUGUUAUUAUAUUUUUAUAUUUCUUUAGAUCAUACAACGAGUCAUUGAACUCUCAAAUAACAUUAUAGUAUAAAUAUUUAUUUGCAUUUCUUUUAAUGUUAUAGCUCGCACCACUAUUGGAGGCUCCAUUACUCUCCGUUUGAAUGCAACCGCGGCAAUUGGUAUUGUAUUCCUUCUAAGAGCCCUCCGAAAAGCCCUUGCAACCCUACAGCCACAAGGCUUGUCCCCCUAACACAGCCCUUGAAGACGAGUCAUGCAGUUAUCUAUAAGUCCUAAUAUCUGUAUGGGCUCACUCUUUCUAAAUAAUGGGAAAGAGGACAUAAACAUGCAAUUGAAAGACUCUACUGAGACAAAGAUGGGCUGUCAAGAAUGUAGAAGAGGUAAGAUGGGCAGUUGAUCGGAUCUAGUAUGGAUCGUACAUGGAUGAUAGUUGGAAUCGGCGGCUCUCCUAGGGUUCCCUCAUCUGGGAUCCCUAGGUAAAGAGAAUAGAUGGAGUUCUUAGCCAACGAUAUUAGUCUUGAGAAUUUGCUUACCUUAGUUUUCAGUGAAUGUAAAUGUGACAAAGUCUAUCAUCUUAUAAGUAAAGGUAUAAUAUAUUUAACUAUAAGUCUAUUCCAUUUAUUUUUAGUUCAAUUUUUUAAUGCAAAUAUAGAAUAGAAAGAAAAACGUAUAUGAAUGUAAGAAAUGCAAAUAUAGAAAAAAAAAUUGUAUCAGAAAGAUGAAUUAAUACUCCAUUUGAUUAUUAUUUUUUAAAAAAUAAAACUCAUUAUUUCAUUAACUAAAUAGUAUGAGUUAAUUAUUGCUUUAAAUGGCUCAACUAUAUAUAUCCAGGCUUAAUUAGAUGUUCUGAGAGGAACAUAAUUAGAUCUCAAACAUUAUAUUAAUUGUGUGCUAGUGAAAGGUAAAAGCGUUUGCUCUUGAAAGUGGGAAGUUUCAAGUUCGAGUGAUUUCUUAUUCAUUAGAUAAAUUUUUAUUUUUAUAGUGAGUGUAAAGAAAUGACUGUCCCUAUUGUAUAGUCUAUUUCCCAUUGGCCUUCUAACGAAUAAAAAAAGAAAAAAAAAAGCAUGCAUUGGCCUCUCCUCUAAUCUCAAGUCCUCUAGUAAGUCUAUGGCCUCUCCUCUAAUCUCAAGUCCACUAGUAAGUCUAUGGCCUCAUGUUUUCAAAUUAUCUCUAAUUCAAUAUAAGUUUCACAGAUAUUUACUUCUGUGGAUGGAAUGGUACCCACAUGUACACUUAGAAAUUAAAUUUCACCAAAAGAAAAGAAAAAUGAAAAUUGGCUUCUAUUCUUCCAAAAAUAUUGACUACUUAAAAGAUAAGGAAAAAAAGAGAAAAAAAUUAAUGUUCUUACGAUAUGUUGUGGUCAUCUAAUGGAGAUAUUUCACCAAAAUUUUGUUUUUUUUCUUCCCUUUUCUUUUUUAAAUUAAAAUUAAAACUAGUUAUUUAUCCGUGUGUUACACGGCGUUAUUAUUAUUUUAGUUAUAAAAUUAAGUUGAUAGAUACAAUUUAAUAAAAAUUUUAAUAUUUAAUAUUGAUUUAUAAAAUUUUAAAAAAAUAAAUAGCAAACUAACUAUUUUUAAAUGUUGUUUAUUUAAAAAUAAUUAUUAAUACAAUAAUAUAAAAAUUAUUGAUUAAUUAAUUUCAAUAUUAUAUCAAUUAACAUAUCAAUAUAAUUGACAUUACUAUUUUUUAAGAUUAAAAAUUAUUAUAUAAUUAGAAAUUAUCUUAUUAUUAAAUAUACUAUUAAAAAAUAAUUUAAAAUGUUAUCUUCUAGAAUUAGAAUUAUUAUCUAAUUAUAAAAUUAAUUUAUUAGUUAAUAUAAUAUUAAAAUAUAAUUUAUAUACUAUUUCUUAAGAUAGAAUUAGUAUCAUUAUCUUAUUAGGAAACUAUUUAUUAAUUAAUGUAAUAUUAGAAAAUAGUUAAUAUGCUAGUUUUUAGGAUUAGAGCUGUGCUUAAUUAGGAAUAUAAAUUAGAAAUCAAUAAUUUGAAUCUCAUGUGUCAACGAGUUUCUCAAUUAAAAAUUACUCAAAUAAUAUUAUAUUAUAAAUGUCCUUUUGCAUUGUUUUUGCAUUUUUAAAUUACUCCAUUUCGAUGUUACCAUAGCAACCAAUAUUGUAUUAAUCCUUUCAGAAACGCUUGCAGCCCUUGCAUCUGCGAUUAUCAUUUUGAUCCGUUUCAAAUUCGAAUAGAAAUAUCUGUAUUACUAUCUGAAUUCUAUAAAAAUAUGUUUAAUAUAUAGCUAUUAAAUAAAUUUUAUGAAUAUUUAAACAUAUAGCAGAUACCUUAACUGUUAAAUACUAGUUUAUAUAAAUAUUUAGUAUCUACACCCUACUUGUUAAAUAUCAGUUAUAAAUAUUUGAUAUAAAUAUCCAUUUACUGAAUCCGUUUAUAGGAAUUAAAUUCUAAAAUAUAUCAAUAAAAUUUAAUAAAAAAAUUACAAAAUCUAAAGUAUGUAAUUUUAAAUGAAAGUUUAAAAUUUAAAUUUUAUUAUUAUUUUCUUUCAUAUACAUAAUAUAUAUGUAUAUACUAUUUAAACAGGUAUCAAAUACUAAAAUUCGGGUACGGUAUAUCAAACUCUUUAUUUUAAGGAGUUUUAUUAUAAAAUAACACUCCAAUGCACUCUUUUUAUUCUUUGAAUAUAAAGUAGAGUGUCAAUUUGGCUUUCUACAUAUAAAGAGUCAAACUUCCCUAUCUACUCUAUAUUUAAUAAAUACAAUAUAAAUUUUUAUUUAUUUGACUUAAUUAAUAUUUGCAAUUCUUAUUUUUCUAUUGGUAAAAAUAAAAAAGAAAAGAAACUAGAAAUUAAAACUAUUAAUGUUUGUAGAAAUAAAGCAAGAUAUAGAAUAAAAUAUAAAGAUGUUAUUGGACUUAAAUAAAAUAUUUUACUCUUUAUAUAUGAAUAUUCUUUAAGGCGCUCUUUAUAAUAAAAAUUUAUACUCUUCAAAAUAAAAAAUAUUAUUGAAAAUGCUCUAAGAAAAGCAAAUACAGAAAGCAGACUGAAAGAAAAGAAUUGUAUCAUAAAGGUGAAUUAGUACUCGAUAUAAAAUACUUUCGUAACUUCUAAAUUAACAAAUGAGUUGAAUAGCUUAAUUGCUAAAUAGGAACCAAGUGGAUUUGGACAUAUUACUCCUUGGUGGAGAUGGUAUGUUAAUGGUUGCUUCAAGUUAGGGUAUAUACCUAUGUUUAUAUAUUUUAAAUAAGUGGUUUUCUUAUGUGUAAAGUCCAUUAAGUUGUCUAGCUUGAUGGUUGAGGCUCAUUGAUAGAGUUUCUUCACCCCUUUGGAUUUUCGAGUGAAGGAGGGUGCUCCAUUAGAUAUCCUCUACUUUUUCUCAUUUCGAAAUAGCUGGUGGUCAAUAUCAUUUAUUUUAUCUGGGGUUUCAUCAAUUCUUGUAUCAGUUACAGGAAAGUAGGUAUAGCGUUAUGGCGCCCUAGUCUGAUGGGUGAUAGUAUUAGUAUGGGAGAGGAGGAGCUGUCCAGGAGAUAAUACAAAAAACACAAACUGUCUUACAACUACACUCCAACCAGGCGAUGGACUCCAAGCUUUAUGAUAAACUCCUUGUUGGGAAAUCUUGACUUUUAAGUAUUUGUCGCGGCCCAUUGUUAAAUCUUACUUAUCAAGUUGUGGAAUUUAUCUAGGAACUUCUUGAUGCAACAUCAUAAGUCAAACAUAUUCAUUUUUGAGUUGGAAUCUACCACGGAUAAGGAAAAGGUUAUGGAAGGUGCUCCUUGGUCUAUCUCAAACUCCUUAAUGGUACUCUCUGAACGGCCUGCAGACUCAUUGCAAUAGCUACAUUUUUCGGUUUAUCCAUUCUGGGUUGAAAUCCACAACCUGGCUCCCGAUGAAGUGAACCAAGAAAAUGAUAAGGCCAUCAGUCGACUUAUUGAUUAGCUUGUAAAGUUGGAAGAAGUCCCUCCUAGUAUAUGAUACCAUCAUAUCAUGAGGAUUUGAGUCUUGGUAGAUGUGGAGGAGCCUCUGCCAAUGGAGUUUUUUAACGAUAGGAGUAGGAAGAAUAUGGGUUUUCGUGAGUCUGAAUGGAUAGUAAGUCCCUCCUAGUAUAGGAUACCAUCAUGUCAUGAGGAUCCAAGUCUUGGUAGAUGUGGAGAAGCCUCUGCUAGUGGGCUUUUUAACAAUAAGAGUAGGAAGAGUAUGGGUUUUCAUGAGUCUGAAUUGAUAGUAUUUAGUUAUGAAAGACUUUACCUCAAUUUUGCUUUCUAUAUGGUAGAAUUGGGCAUGACUUAAGGUUGUGCCCCUAUCAGGAUGAGGAGGAAUUCCAGCGGCUGAUUGAAACAUGCAAGUUUAAGUAUGGGAACUGGUUACGGUGGGAAUGCAAGGGAAUAAAAUCAUUAGCAAUGAGAGUUUAGGGUCCAAAAGAAACUAGAAAAUAAAUUCCAUUAAAAGUAUGAGUAUCUCAGAUGAUAAAGCAACUCCAAUGGAGGAUGAGGGAGCAUAUCAGCUGGCGGUUGUAGCCCAUGUGCCAUCAGUUGCUAGUAUGGGAGGCAAGGACGACAGACUAAAAGAAAAUUUAUAAUUAGUUGAUUAAUUUAGUUUUUUUAUUAAUUUAAUAUAAUUGAUAAAAAAAAUAAUACAUAGUAAUAAUAUAAGGAUAAAAUUUAUAUAUAAUUAAAAUAUUAAAAAAUUAUAAACAAAAAAAAAUAGAAAUAAAACAGGAAAAAAUUUUAUUUAAAAAUUCUAAAUUCCAAUCAAUUGAUUAUUGAGUUUAUUUUAUUGACAUAGGAUAAAAUUAGUUUCCAUGUUCUUUGUAUUUUUUAGUCCCAUAAGAUUAUUUUUUAUAGGAAGGAACCCCUUUUGUUAAUUACUUAUCAAAUUAUUUAUAACUUAUAAAAUUAAUACUAAUUUAUAACUACCAAUAAAUAAAUUUAACAUAUUAUUAGAGACAACUGAAAAUCCACAAGUAUAUUAAUUUAAUGAAAUAAUAUGGUACUAUUCAAAAUUAAUAUUCCUAAUAAGGGUAAUGUAAUAGAAUUUGUCUAUUUGAGUUUUUCUUUAUUCAAACCUCUUUUAUUAAAGUUAUAAUCCACCACUAACGUACAUUAAACCUUUAUUACUUUUUCAUUUAAUCUUUUUCUUCUCUAUUUUAUUAUUAUUUUUUAUAAAUAUUUUUAUAAAUAAUUUUAUAAAUUUAGUUAUCACUGUUGCUAUAAAAUUCAGAUGUUGUCCAACACUAUAUAAAGUUAUAAUGAAAUAUAUUAAUUAGCAAUUAUUUUAAUUUUAGAUAAUAAUAUUAUAUAAGUAUUAAUCCGUUUUAGAUUUCUUUUCAAUUUUAUUCUAAUUUAAAUUUUUAUAUUUUUAUUAAAUAUUUAAAGAAAUCUUAAUUUCUCACAAAAGAUGUUAAUAUGCAAAGUUGGUGAUUUAUUUCAAAUUUCUUAUAUCAGUUAUUAAUAUGUGUGUAAUAAAUAUUAGUUAAUAGAUUCAAAUUUUAGCACCAAUAAAUAUUAGUUAGUUGAAUAAUUUUAAUAAAUAAAAUAGUAAGUUGUUUUUUUAUUAUAAUUAAAUUAUACUUCUUUCUCGUUUUGAUAAUCAAUAUUUUUAUCAAUUUGUAAAGAAAAAGUUUACAAUUAAAAGUAGUUACUAAAACUAAGAGAUUUAUUCAAAUAGAUUGGAAAAGAGUCUCAAUUGUAAGUGAAAAAAUUUCAAGUUAAAUAUAUAUCAAUACAACUUAAACUUAAAUACAUUCUAAUAACCAAAGGCAAAGCAAAAUAUAAUAAUAUUAUACUUAAUACACUGUAAAAACUGAUUUGAUAGUUGUUUAUAAUAUAUCCUAUUUACUGACUUAAAUUUGGAAAAGUAAUAAUUAUACCAUUCAAGGAUAACAAGGACUAAACAUAGAGUUGCUACUCCCUAGGAAAAAUCUAAACAUAAUGAAUUUCUAUUCUUCUUAGUCAACUUUUAAGUCUUUGCCUUUAUGUUUAAUAUAUAAAUAAAAUAUAUAUUUUCUUUUUUCGAAAUAAAAUUUGUGAAUUAUAACCGGCUAUAAAUAACAGUAGUAACAAUGAAGAGGCAAUUGUCAAAUAUUAACAAACUCAAUAAUCUCCAAACAUGAAAGCCUCUUUGAUAAUAUGCAUUCUCUUGGUUGCCAUUCUCUUUUCUCCCUCUUCAACUUCUGCUCGACAAUUAGCUGCUUUUGGCACCGGCAACCCAAAACUUCCUCCAUUUGAAUGCGGCCGUGGCAAACCAUAUUGUAUUCC
rnacentral:lncRNA from 1 species